GUCUGGAGCUGGAAGCCCCGGCAGAAUUCACCCCGCCCUCCCCGACCUGCGGGGCCUGGCCGCCCUACACCCGGCCCCAGGGUCUGUCUCCUUUGUUUUCUCGAAAUGGAGAGUGGAUUCUGAGCUCCCUUCCUAAGGCUCUUACCAUUUGGAAGUCACUUUGCCCAUCUAAGGAGAAUUUGCAUUUUAACAAGGGGGAUAACCUUGAAGUACCCAAAGGAAUCUCUACUUGUGGAAUUGCUGGCAUAGGCGAGAUAUUCUGGAAGGCAGAGAGACCUCCGUGGAAUGCCUGAAGCCCCCAUAACUCGCGAUAAGGAAAGAAAACCGUUAAACUGAAGGAAGGGC